AUCAUAUGGCUUAUUUUAUAACUUACUUACCCAGUACCCCAUUGAUGGAAAUUUCAUCAAAUUGUAUCUUAAAAACCAGCAACCAUCACAAACGUGGCAGGUUAGAGUCCUAGAGUGACGAUUAGGAAGAAAUGGAGCUGGAAACAAUGGCUGGAUGAUUUAACUUGCCGGUCUUCCAACUUUUCCUUCCCUGCUCCUGGGGAAACUUUACCCGCAGACACUUACUCUAGCACUUUCCAAUUAAACCUACCUCAACUCCAAUGGGGUCUGUGACUCUGGGAAAGAGAAGAGCCAUUUCUCACCACCUGGCACAGGAGCCCACUGCCCACUGACCCCUCAGGGAAAGCCCAAGGCCCCUCAGGUGUGUCACCCUGGGGGUGUCACUCCCUUCCUGUCUGGGUUUCCUCAUCUGGGAGACUGUCCAGAGGAAGCUGGUGACUCUUGACCAUGGAGUUUCCUGGCCCUAUGAUGACAGAUCUCUGCCACACCUGGCCAUCUGCCACACCUGCAACAGGUGCAGAACACAGGGGAAUUCAAUAGCCAUCCAAGCUCUAAGCUGAGAGCCAGCCUCAGGGGGAGCUUCUGGCCACCUCAGUUCAUGAUGGGACCUGGGAGAGCUGGAGAUUCCUUAAUACCGGCACGUUUUAAAAAAUUGUUUUGAUUUAGAACUUCUUAACAAGUCAAAGCUGGGAAGUGCUUUCUGUUCUGAUGCAACAGAAGACACAGCAAAUCGGAUCCUCUCAUUAAUUGCAUGAAAGCAAAGUCAUCCACUUACUAAGUUUCUGUUUGGUGUUGCCGUAAGAUUGUUGGAAGAUCAUAUUACUCCCCACUCUGGAAACUCAGUGCAGCUCAACUGCAGUAGGACUGAUUCUUCCCUAGGAGACGGAGUUCUCCUUUCAUCAUCUUCCCCUUCUGUGCAUGGUAGCCGCUUGAACUUGCCUCUCCGAGUCAAGGACAAGACCACCCCAUGGAAUGGGCCAAGUGGACUCCCCAUGAAGCCUCCAACCAGACCCAGGCCAGCACCCUCCUGGGGCUCCUGCUGGGUGACCACACGGAAGGGAGGAAUGACACCAACUCCACCAGGGCUCUGAAGGUGCCAGACGGAACUAGCGCUGCCUGGUAUAUCCUCACCAUCAUCGGCAUCUACGCGGUGAUUUUCAUCUUCCGGCUGGCCAGCAACAUCCUCAGAAAGAAUGACAAGUCCUUAGAAGAUGUUUAUUACUCAAAUCUGACCUCUGAACUCAAAAUGAUAGGGCUGCAGGGCAAGGUUGCCAAGUGCUCCACCCUGACUAUCAGCAACAGAGCUGUGCUGCAGCCCUGCCAGGCCCACCUGGGGGCAAAGGGCGGGAGCAGCGGGCCCCAAACCGCAACCCCAGAGACCCCUUAAGAGUCAAGGCCAGGAGGCCUUCCCUAGGGUGGCCCCAGACUUCUUGGAGGGGAGCAGCUUUGGGUUUACUUGGAGCCCUUGAGGGGGACUGGGGGUGCGUCACUGACAAAGGGUGCUUCUGGCUGCUAGUUUGUGACCAGAGCCAGCCACCCAGUUCCUUCUCAGGCUUCCAGGUGCUUCGAGAAGAGAGAGCAGGGCAGCGGUUUCCAGCCAAAUUCAAUCUUCACUGGCAAAGCCUGUGCUCUGGGGAGGAGCACUAUUCCACUGUUCUCGGAGGAAUCCGGGAGACUCCUGGGGGCAUACAAGGAGGUGACCCCUUGUCAUGGAAAGAAGAGUGAACUUGGAGUCAGUCCUGGGUUAAAAUUCAACUUCUGGGGAGUCACAUAAACUGAGCAGCUUAGUUGCUCACCUGAGACAUCAAGGGUUUGGAGACAGAUGGUUUUAAAAGCUAUUUUAUUUGAAAGACUCUAGCUUGAAUAUACGACCAAAGUUGUUAAUAUCAGAAGUUGGAAAUUCUUCAUUUUCAUUGAAAGAAUUAGCAGGGUCUUUGUGACCUGUAUCUUGUGAUAUCAAUCCUGCUGGCCUCCUGUCUCACCCUGUGACUAAGAAUGCCUACCCUCCUGGAAUGCAGUCCAGCAAGUCUCAUCCUCAUUUUACACAGCCUUUAAUCAAGAUGGAGUCGCUCUGGUUCGAAAACCUCUGACAGAAUUGCUGGAUCCAUUUUGCCACCAUGAAGAAAGCCAACUUGAAGGCAAAAACCCAGCAUAUAGAAAGGAGAAGAACUAGGAAAUUACAGAGACCAGAGCCUGUACCAACUGUACCCAGAGCCUUCAUUUACCACUGGAGUUUUUCAGUUUGUGAACCAAUGAAUUCCUUUUAUUAAGUCUGUUGGAGCUAGGCUUUUGUUCCUUACAACCAAAAAUAUCCUAAAUGAUACCACUGGAUAAAAUGAUUUCCCGAAGGAAGUGGGCCUUGGAGUCAAAUUUGAAAAGAGAAGAUGUGUGAUGUGCUGUGUGGGAGGCUGGGAUCAUUUUUUUUCCCCAAGAUUUUUAUAUUUAUAGGCUUUUAUAUUUAUAGGGGAAAAAACAGAUUCGGUACACUUCUUACUUCAGCUCAAUGAUCAUUUGCAGGACUUCUCAUUGCUUGACCUCUCAAAGAGCACUCAGUGAGACUCUGUACCAUUUAAUCCUCACCCCUGACUGUCAGUAGACUGCCAUGGAAACCCCAAGGAUGCCUGUCCUGUUGGACAUGCGGUCAGAGACUGGCUCCAAAGAUAUCUCCCAAAGAGCAAAAGCCACCAUCUUCCUGUUGGUGCCCAGACACAGGUGCAUGAGCUCCAAGGACUCCUUCCUAGGCCACCUCUCUGCUGCCUGAUCUAAACUCACCUCGUUUCUGGGAGCUGGUCUGAGAGUCUGCCUUGGAGAUGUGUUGGAUGGGAACUAGGGGUUUGUAGGCUCCAUUGUGAGCAAUACUGAUGGGAAAUGACCCCAACUGGUAUGGAUAUUUUGCAUAAAGCCCCUGAAAUCUGACAUGCUCAGGGUCAGAGCCAUGAACCACUGUCUUGACAAACCCCAUGUACAUGGACUAAUAAGGAAGGUGUGGGCACCAUGGCGUUAGUGUUCAACUGGAGAGUAGGAAAGAGAUUUGCAUGUGCCACCAGCCCUGAUAGAGACAGUGACAGAACACACUGAUUCUCAACAUUCCAGACACCUGCUGUCUUUGUCCCUAUGUAGGUUUCCCCCAAUAUUUAGGGGAUCAGGUCAGAUAAAGGCCUUCCUCUGAAAUGGAAAUUAUUUAAAAUCGAUGAGGAAGUCAUCCAGGAAUGACUUCCUCUGGUGAUCUGUGGCUGAUGGUGCUAGGGUUUGUAUCAGACCAAAUCAAGCUAACUAGAGCUUCCCCAGGUGAUUGUAACCCAUCUCCUAAAUAAAACUUGCAUCGACUCGGUUGCAUUACAAUUUGAUUUUCC